UGCCCCAUAGUCUGGGAUACCACUUGGAAACAGGUGCUAAUACCGGAUAAGAAAGCGGAUCGCAUGAUCAGCUUUUAAAAGGCGGCGUAAGCUGUCGCUAUGGGAUGGCCCCGCGGUGCAUUAGCUAGUUGGUAAGGUAAAGGCUUACCAAGGCGAUGAUGCAUAGCCGAGUUGAGAGACUGAUCGGCCACAUUGGGACUGAGACACGGCCCAAACUCCUACGGGAGGCAGCAGAAC
rnacentral:rRNA from 1 species